rnacentral:rRNA from 1 species
UACGUAGGGGGCAAGCGUUGUCCGGAAUUAUUGGGCGUAAAGAGCGCGUAGGCGGUCCGAUAAGUCGGCUGUGAAAGUCAGGGGCUCAACCCUUGGAAGCCGGCCGAUACUGUCGGACUAGAGUCCGGAAGAGGCGAGUGGAAUUCCCGGUGUAGCGGUGAAAUGCGCAGAUAUCGGGAGGAACACCAAUGGCGAAGGCAACUCGCUGGGACGGUACUGACGCUGAGGCGCGAAAGCGUGGGGAGCAAACAGG